rnacentral:rRNA from 1 species
AUUGAACGCUGGCGGCAUGCUUUACACAUGCAAGUCGAACGGUAACAGGGUGCUUGCACCGCUGACGAGUGGCGAACGGGUGAGUAAUGCGUCGGAACGUGCCGAGUAGUGGGGGAUAACGCAUCGAAAGGUGUGCUAAUACCGCAUACGUACUGAGGUAGAAAGUGGGGGACCUUCGGGCCUCACGCUAUUCGAGCGGCCGACGUACUGAUUAGCUAGUUGGUGAGGUAAAGGCUCACCAAGGCGACGAUCAGUAGCGGGUCUGAGAGGAUGGUCCGCCACACUGGGAAUGAGACACGGCCCAGACUCCUACGGGAGGCAGCAGUGGGGAAUUUUGGACAAUGGGCGCAAGCCUGAUCCAGCCAUGCCGCGUGUCUGAAGAAGGCCUUCGGGUUGUAAAGGACUUUUGUCCGGGAGCAAAUACCCAGUGCUAAUAACGCUGGGGGCUGAGAGUACCGGAAGAAUAAGCACCGGCUAACUACGUGCCAGCCGCCGCAGUAAAAC